rnacentral:rRNA from 1 species
UACGUAGGUGGCAAGCGUUGUCCGGAUUUAUUGGGUUUAAAGGGUGCGUAGGCGGCCCUGUAAGUCAGUGCUGAAAUAUCCCGGCUUAACCGGGAGGGUGGCAUUGAUACUGCGGGGCUAGAGUACAGAUGAGGUAGGCGGAAUUGACGGUGUAGCGGUGAAAUGCUUAGAUAUCGUCAAGAACACCUAUAGCGAAGGCAGCUUACUAGGCUGUAACUGACGCUGAGGCACGGAAGUGUGGGGAUCAAACAGG